AUGGACUAGUUGGAGCACCCCUGCAGGGUUUAAUCUUUCGGAAAGCCGUGCCCGCGGUUAUGUGGCAACUUGGAAUAUUUUGUUAACAUCCGGUAUUAGAAAACUUAAACAAAAACUAAUAAAAUAUGCCAACUGUGUGCGUAACCGUGACUGUCCCUUCGAAGAUCUCUCUUCGAUCGGGAACACGGUGGGGUUAUGAAUGCCGUAGGUAGGUGUUCAGGAUCACUUUCUGAUCAAGUAAUCACGAUCGUUAGUAUAGAACACUGUCACUUCUCCUUUGCGUAAGCUAGCCACUUGUUCAAUCUUAGGAUGCAACAACCUGAAACACUUCCCCCCUUCCUUACCCAAUAACAUGACUAGUUCUGGCACCAAGGUCUUAGAUUGCUGAGUCCCCAUGACUCACGGAUUCCUCCGAAACUCCCAGCAGGUACAGGUACCCCAGAGGCAGAUGAUCCCGACGGCACCCAGCUGGCGUGGCAGUACGACGA
rnacentral:lncRNA from 1 species